rnacentral:lncRNA from 1 species
GUAGGAUGAGGCUGAAGAGUGUAGGCUGAGUGCAGGAGAUGUAGGUGUCCAGCAUACUGAGUUUCUCAUGGAGAUCCAGAAAGGAACCACACACUGAAGACCUCCAGAAAAGUCAGGCAUCAUUAGAUGGCAACAUCUAGAUGCUCUAUAAUUCACUUGGUAAUCUUGGAAUGGAUUUGGCUUACACAUUUGAAAAGGUUGCACAUGUCAUGAUGGGAACAGAAGGCCAUGUUCAUCUCCACAUUAUUACUCCUUUGGAAAAAGAUUUUAAAAAAUAGACUGAAGAAUUAAAGGAUUUCUUUGGAGAAAUAGAGUCUGUGUUGCUCUGAACUAGAAUACCUGCUUAAUACCCUUGAGGGAGUUCUUGGAUUCGACUUAACACUACAAUUUCUCUGCAUUUUGCAUCUCUGUAACAGCCCCUGCCUGCUUCAAAAAGAUUCUAUAAGAAGAUGUGACAACUGCUCACCUCUCUAGGUACAAGGAUAAGCAUUUAGAAGGGACUAAACCACCAACCAAAGAGUACACAUGGAGGGACCCAUGCAUCCAUCUGUAGCAGAGGAUGGCCUUGUCGGGCAUUAAUGGGAGGAGAGGCCCUUGGUCCUGUGAAGGCUUGGUGCCCAGUGUAGAGGAAUGCCAGAGCUGGGAGGUGGAUGAAAAAUAAGUCCUGCAAUGAGAAAGAUUCUGGAGAGUAUGUCUUUAAAUAACAUAGAGCAUCCUUACAGCAUAAAAAAAGAGGCUUUCCCAAUAUUACCUUUGAAGUCUGGUCAAUAUAUGUUCUGUUUCAAAGGGUUGUCCAAAGUGAAGAAGUCAGAGCAAGAACUCAGAGCAGAGAACAUGAAAAAGGGCUGUUUACUGUACUGCUCCACUGGAUUAUAAAUCUGAAUUUUUUAAAGUUUAUUUUAUGUACAUGAGAACUGUUGCUCCCUUCAGUCCCACCAGAAGAGGGCAUCAGAUUCUACUACAGACGGUUGUUGGGAAUUAAACUCAGGACCUCUGGAAGGACACUCAGUGCUCUUAACCACUGAGCCAUCUCUUCAGCCCCUAUAUCCAGAUUUCUCUACAACUCAGAACCACCUGCCCAAUAGUGGCAAUUCCCACAGUGCUCUGGGCCCUCUCAGUUCAAUGAAAAAUGAAGGCAAUUCCUAUCAGACAUGGUCUGAGGUCAAUGUGAUCUGGGCAGUUCUGCAGUUGAGACUCCCUCAGGUACUCUGGGCUGUGACCACUUCACACUGAUGAUGACUAGGACACUAAGACAGAAAUUGUUACAAUAAAUCAAUCUCAUUUUCCAAUGAAAACCAAGAUAAUCCAAGUAUCUGUAAUAAAAAAAAGUCAAAAGCGAAACAAUUCCCCUAGUUAUGCAUUUCGCCAACUUUAUCACCAAAUAGUUAGUUGAUAUGCAAGAUUUCCUAAGCCUGAUCCCUUUGAAUGUGUGUGAAAACUUCACCUGACAAGAUCAAGACCUGAACAUGCUCUCAACAUGACCUCUGGGGGAGUCUCUCUUAACAGACUGGAGUAAGACUGGAGCAAGGAACUUUUGCAGACAUUAGAAGGCUGAUGGAGAAGACUAUUGGCAAGAACUACCAGGCCCUCCUAAGAUGUUGACUCUUUGCUGGCAGGACCAGGCUGUUUAACAGGAUGCAGUUCUCAGCUACGUUUCCAGCACCAUGCCUACCAACAUGCUCCCUGGCAUGAUGAUAAUGGACAGAACCUCUGAAACUGUAAG